rnacentral:rRNA from 1 species
UGGGGAAUUUUGCGCAAUGGGCGAAAGCCUGACGCAGCGACGCCGCGUGUGCGAUGAAGGCCCUUGGGUCGUAAAGCACUGUCAACUGGGACGAAAACACCUUUGCGAAUAGCAAGGGUGCUUGACGGUACCAGUAAAGGAAGCACCGGCUAACUCUGUGCCAGCAGCCGCGGUAAUACAGAGGGUGCAAACGUUGUUCGGAAUUACUGGGCGUAAAGCGCGUGUAGGCGGUUCGUUAAGUCGACUGUGAAACCCCAUGGCUCAACCAUGGAAGUGCAGUCGAUACUGGCAGACUGGAGUCCCGGAGAGGGUGGUAGAAUUCCCAGUGUAGAGGUGAAAUUCGUAGAUAUUGGGAGGAAUACCGGUGGCGAAGGCGACCACCUGGACGGGUACUGACGCUGAGACGCGAAAGCGUGGGGAGCAAACAGGAUUAGAUACCCCCGUAGUCC